UACGGAGGAGGCAAGCGUUAUCCGGAAUUAUUGGGCGUAAAGCGUCCGCAGGUGGCUAUUCAAGUCUGCGGUCAAAGACUGGGGCUUAACCCCAGAAAGGCGGUGGAAACUGAACAGCUAGAGAGAGGUAGGGGUAGAGGGAAUUCCCAGUGUAGCGGUGAAAUGCGUAGAUAUUGGGAAGAACAUCAGUGGCGAAAGCGCUCUACUGGACCUUAUCUGACAUUGAGGGACGAAAGCUAGGGGAGCGAAUGGG
rnacentral:rRNA from 1 species